CCUCUCCAAAGGAACAGUCUUCUGGUCUACAAGUCCAGAUAAUUCUCUGCUAUUUCACGCUAGCCAAACCAGUGUUAAAACGGCUACUUGGUCACUUGGCACUUGCUGCACUGGUGCACUCUUCCUCACUGGGCAUUUGCGUGUGAUGUACCAACUGGACAGUGAAUUCAAGUUCAUUAGAAGGAACUGGACUAAACCCAUGCCAAGGCAGAGCAUCAUACAAGCUCUUUUAUACUACAUAAGGUUGUCUUCAAGGGGUGAAAAAGGAACCUCAGCAAAGAGUGAAUAUGCCCUUUCUUGGCUGUAUGUCCUAUAGACCGCAUGUUAAUGGUCACUUAGUUAGCUUGGGUGGGCUCCACAUGUGUUUUGUACAGAAAAAUGUGGGAAAGGAGUGAAAGAACAUAGAGUGCCCUGAGUCCUGUAAAUUGCCUGACAGCAGCCACUGUCUGUUCCUGGAAAGGCAAGGCUUUGGUAAGGUAUCAGAAAGGGGACAGUCAUUUUCUAGAAACAAAUUGUUCCAUCUCAUGCAAAGAGGGUCAAUUACUGCUGUACAGGACAGUGUUGAUUUAUCCAUAUGCUCUGUGUCUACUGCCACCAAAAUCCAAGCUCUCAAAGAACUGCAUAAUGUGCCUUGUCAGAGGUGGAUGUGCAGAAGAGACUGAGUCAGCUUUCAAGGUUAUUCCCCUUGCCCAUUCUGGCCAUGGCAUACAGCUCUGGGAUGAAGUCUGCUUUAGUUCUGUAAGUAAUGAAAGUAUUUGGUCUUGUCUGUGACCCUUCAUAUGCAUCUCUGCAUAGCAAGAGCUGUUUUUCUGUUACUGGCACAAGUGUUUUAGAGCUUGUGGUUACCCACUGCAGACUCCUGAGUUGCUCAAAGCCCGCAGUUCUGUGAUUCCUCCUUAAAAUAGCUCAUUCAGUUUUCUGGCUACAUCAGGAGAACCUGUGUAUAAAGUAAUGGCUAAUCAAACACCAUGCAAGUGUUCAAAGCUGACUUGUGACCCAGAGACUUUUAGCACAUCCAAGGUGACUAAAUUGUGUCCAGGUGCUCGGCGUACUUUUCCUUUUCAUGGAGGAGAAAGCCUGUACUGUAAGUACAACUCCUUCACUAGAUUUCUACUCUGCUGCCCCAAAUGCUGUUUCUGGUGUUUAGAAGAAUUCUUCAAACUUACAACCAGAAAUGCCUACAUCGUGGUAUGUGCUGUCUCUGCAGGUGGUCUCCCCUGUCUGGGGUACUAAAAUACCCUAGCCAGACCUAGUCACUCAGCAGCCAGCUGUAAUAGAAUCUGCUGGAAGACGUUAGUGCAGAUCAGCCCUAAGUAUAUAGCAUAAAGUAUGUGGCUACCUUUAUUUAUCUGCUUCAGUUUCUGUAGCACAUCUAGAUGUGUUUGGAAGUAGAGUCUUCUAAGGAAACCAGGAUCACAUGCUUACUGUCAUAUUGUUCUUCCUGCUUUUCUUGCCCAGUUCUGCAGCAUACAAAUGGUCACAUUGUCUUCAAUUAAUUCUGAGCUGGAAUACCUACCUCCAGUACAAUAUGGCGUGGAUACUUCAUCAAGUCUAGAAGCCAUUUCAGGAGAUAUAUUAGCCCAUCAUUCCUCAUGCUGCUAUGUAAUUCUAAGCUUGGGAGCAGGCUCAUUUUACUUUACAGUAUGGACAGAAUCUUCAUGUGCUGAUGAUUCCAGUCAUAGCAUAUGAAUUGAUAUGUGACUGAACUGAGCACUACCUGAUGUGAUGGAAGCAUCACAAUCUUUUCCCACCAGCUGAUUCGGUAGAGGAGCAGGUGAGGAUGGGGUGGAUCCCCUGAAAAAAGGAGGGUAACAGCUUGAUUUGAGUCCAUCUCCUCCAAACAGGGACCUUCUGUGACAGGCUGUGCUUGUGGAGCCUGAAAGUCCUCCCACUCCUGCAAUUCUGGGUGUGCAGGGGCUGUGUGGGAUACCCACACAAAAGUUUUGGAGAGAAAUCCAUCCCGUUUGGGAUC